UACAGAGGGAGCAAGCGUUGUUCGGAAUUACUGGGCGUAAAGGGCGCGUAGGCGGUUCGAUAAGUCCCGUGUGAAAUCCCUCGGCUCAACUGAGGAAUGGCACGGGAAACUGACGGGCUUGAGUUCGGGAGAGGAAGCGGAAUUCCGGGUGUAGCGGUGAAAUGCGUAGAGUAUCCGGAGGAACACCGGUGGCGAAGGCGGCUUCCUGG
rnacentral:rRNA from 1 species